ACCUGCUUAGCAGAACGACCCGUGAACGCGUUGUAUACAACAUCGGAGGUGGUGCGGGUGCAUCGUCGCCUGUUCCAUCCCCGCGUGUCGGAGCGACCGGUCCAGUCAUCCCUCUGCCCAUUGGGUGGGGUGAGAUGUCAGGAUCAACCUCUUCGAUGCAAAACGAACAGUCGACUCAGAACUGGUACGGACAAGGGGAAUCCGACUGUUUAAUUAAAACAAAGCAUUGCGAUGGU
rnacentral:ncRNA from 1 species